rnacentral:rRNA from 1 species
AGUGAACGCUGGCGGUAGGCCUAGCACAUGCAAGUCGAACGGCAGCACAGUAAGAGCUUGCUCUUACGGGUGGCGAGUGGCGGACGGGUGAGGAAUACAUCGAAAUCUACUUUUUCGUGGGGGAUAACGUAGGGAAACUUACGCUAAUACCGCAUACGACCUACGGGUGAAAGCAGGGGAUCUUCGGACCUUGCGCGAUUGAAUGAGCCGAUGUCGGAUUAGCUAGUUGGCGGGGUAAAGGCCCACCAAGGCGACGAUCCGUAGCUGGUCUGAGAGGAUGAUCAGCCACACUGGAACUGAGACACGGUCCAGACUCCUACGGGAGGCAGCAGUGGGGAAUAUUGGACAAUGGGCGCAAGCCUGAUCCAGCCAUACCGCGUGGGUGAAGAAGGCCUUCGGGUUGUAAAGCCCUUUUGUUGGGAAAGAAAAGCAGCAGGUUAAUACCCCGCUGUUCUGACGGUACCCAAAGAAUAAGCACCGGCUAACUUCGUG